rnacentral:rRNA from 1 species
GCUCAGGAUGAACGCUAGCUACAGGCUUAACACAUGCAAGUCGAGGGGCAGCAUGGUCUUAGCUUGCUAAGGCCGAUGGCGACCGGCGCACGGGUGAGUAACGCGUAUCCAACCUGCCUUACACUCUUGGACAGCCUUCUGAAAGGGAGAUUAAUACAAGAUGUUAUCAUGAGUAAGCAUUUUCGCAUGAUUAAAGGUUUACCGGUGUAAGAUGGGGAUGCGUUCCAUUAGAUAGUAGGCGGGGUAACGGCCCACCUAGUCUUCGAUGGAUAGGGGUUCUGAGAGGAAGGUCCCCCACAUUGGAACUGAGACACGGUCCAAACUCCUACGGGAGGCAGCAGUGAGGAAUAUUGGUCAAUGGACGAGAGUCUGAACCAGCCAAGUAGCGUGAAGGAUGAAGGUUCUAUGGAUUGUAAACUUCUUUUAUACGGGAAUAAACGGAUCCACGUGUGGAUUUUUGCAUGUACCGUAUGAAUAAGGAUCGGCUAACUCCGUGCCAGCAGCCGCGGUAAUACGGAGGAUCCGAGCGUUAUCCGGAUUUAUUGGGUUUAAAGGGAGCGUAGAUGGGUUGUUAAGUCAGUUGUGAAAGUUUGCGGCUCAACCGUAAAAUUGCAAUUGAUACUGGCAGUCUUGAGUACAGUUGAGGUAGGCGGAAUUCGUGGUGUAGCGGUGAAAUGCUUAGAUAUCACGAAGAACUCCGAUUGCGAAGGCAGCUUACUAACCUGUAACUGACAUUGAUGCUCGAAAGUGUGGGUAUCAAACAGGAUUAGAUACCCUGGUAGUCCACACGGUAAACGAUGAAUACUCGCUGUAGGCGAUAUACAGUCUGCGGCCAAGCGAAAGCAUUAAGUAUUCCACCUGGGGAGUACGCCGGCAACGGUGAAACUCAAAGGAAUUGACGGGGGCCCGCACAAGCGGAGGAACAUGUGGUUUAAUUCGAUGAUACGCGAGGAACCUUACCCGGGCUUAAAUUGCAACCGAAUAUGGCGGAAACGCUAUAGCUAGCAAUAGCGGUUGUGAAGGUGCUGCAUGGUUGUCGUCAGCUCGUGCCGUGAGGUGUCGGCUUAAGUGCCAUAACGAGCGCAACCCUUGCCGAUAGUUACUAACAGGUUAUGCUGAGGACUCUGUCGGGACUGCCAUCGUAAGAUGUGAGGAAGGUGGGGAUGACGUCAAAUCAGCACGGCCCUUACGUCCGGGGCUACACACGUGUUACAAUGGGGGGUACAGAGGGCUGCUACCACGCAAGUGGAUGCCAAUCCCAAAAACCUCUCUCAGUUCGGAUUGAAGUCUGCAACCCGACUUCAUGAAGCUGGAUUCGCUAGUAAUCGCGCAUCAGCCACGGCGCGGUGAAUACGUUCCCGGGCCUUGUACACACCGCCCGUCAAGCCAUGGGAGCCGGGGGUACCUGAAGUGCGUAACCGCAAGGAGCGCCCUAGGGUA